rnacentral:rRNA from 1 species
GACGAACCGUGCGAACGUUAUUCGGAAUCACUGGGCUUAAAGCGCGUGUAGGUGGACGGGUAAGUAUCUUGUGAAAUCCCACGGCUCAACCGGUGGAACUGCUGGAUAUACUGCUUGUCUUGAGCACUUAGGGGCAGCUGGAACAAAUGGUGGAGCGGUGAAAUGCGUAGAUAUCAUUUGGAACGCCAAAGGCGAAAAGAGGCUUGC